rnacentral:lncRNA from 1 species
UACACCGACUCUGGAGGAAGACUGGAGCCUUUGCGGCGGCGCUGCCCCUCCCCUGGUCCCCGCGAGCUCGGAGGGCCCGGCUGGUGCUGCGGGGGCCCCGGGAGGUUGAAAACUAAGCAUGGGGAAGAGCUGCAAGGUGGUCGUGUGUGGCCAGGCGUCUGUGGGCAAAACUUCAAUCCUGGAGCAGCUUCUGUAUGGGAACCAUGUAGUGGGUCACCAUCGUGGUCCUUGGCAACAAGUGUGACUUACAGGAGCAGCGGCGUGUAGACCCAGAUGUGGCUCAGCACUGGGCCAAGUCAGAGAAGGUGAAGCUGUGGGAGGUGUCAGUGGCGGACCGGCGCUCCCUCCUGGAGCCCUUUGUCUACUUGGCCAGCAAGAUGACGCAACCCCAGAGCAAGUCUGCCUUCCCCCUCAGCCGGAAGAACAAGGGCAGCGGCUCCUUGGAUGGCUGAAGAGCUGCCGUUCCUCUUUCACGAUCCCAGCCCCAUUUCAGUGUCUGGGGCUCUGGUAGAUGUGUUGAGGGCAAAGUAGAGGACAAGCUGUCUUUCCCAGUCAGCCAGGGAGCUCCCCGCCAGGCCACGCCCC